rnacentral:lncRNA from 1 species
CUAAUCCCAGCACUUUGAGAGGCUGAGGCGGGCGGACCACGAGGUCAGGAGAUCGAGACCAUCCUGCUUAACACGGUGAAACCCCAUCUCUACUAAGAAAAACACAAAAAAAUUAGCCGGGCGUGGUGGCGGGUGCCUGUAGUCCCAGCUACUGGAGAGGCUGAGGCAGGAGAAUGGCGUGAACCUGGGAGGUGGAGCUUGCAGUGAGCUGAGAUGGCGCCACUGCACUCCAGCCUGGGCAACAGAGCGAGACUCUGUCUCAAAAAAAAAAAAAAAAAAAAAAAAGAUUAUUCCUAAUAGAUACGGUCUUACUUUUUGUUUUCCUUUGUGUUUGUGCGUUUUCUCUAGUAGCAUAUUUUUAUUCC